UGGCUGGAGUGUCAGGCUUUUGGAUAGAGACCUUGGAACUAGAGGGGUGUAUAUCCAAUAAAACUAGCCACAAAGUGGCUCUUCUUCAGCCCUCUGUGCCUGAACUGUUUCUUCCUCUUGAUGAUGCUUUUCACGUCCCUGUUGUGAAGCCACUUGUCACGCUCUAUUUCCCACUGGAUCUGUUUGACAUCUGUAGGAGGGAAGGUGAGAAAUAAGGAGCCGAUGGAUAUGUCUUACCGUGAUAUGGCAUACAGAUAAAUCAUGCAGAAGUUAAAACUUGGCUACUGUAUUUAUAAAUGUUUAAAUAAAGUGCAAGUGAACAUUUUUUUUUUUUGAGAAAAUGUUGAGGUUUUUUCACUUCACAAAACAAAUCCUACCAUCUCAAAGUUUUAGACACCGAUUUGUAUUUUACUAAUGCUAGAAAUGCUGGCAUUAGGAGCAGCUGAAGGAAACUACAUCAUGUCUUUCUGAUGUUGAGCUACUGUGCCAACUGUGUGGUUUCUGACUGUGUAUUUCAGUUGAAGAUGGUCCAUCUUUUCAAGUACAGAAUCUGAAGAGAAAGAAGUAAACCAGCAUUACAACUGUCUGCUGUUUGCAGCAUGCACUUACUUGCAUUAUCUCUGUUGGCCAUGGCGUUCAUUCCAAUAUUGUCAAACUUGGACCCGGCAUUUUCAUCCAGCAGAUAGCCAAACUUCAAAGAGAGAAAAUUUUGUAUUUUGUUACAAAGAAACAGGUAAAAUGCUUGAUCACUUUUUGCUAAGCACCAGUCACACUCACCUCUUCCGCAGAUGCCAGUAUACCAGCAUCUUGGAGUUUUUUCUUCUUUACUCGGUUUGAUCCUUUAAACAAAAUAUGAGACAGAAUUUCAAGUUCACAGAGACACUAAAACAAAGCGUUACCAUGUUUUUAAUUUUUAAAAUUUAUUUAAUGAGACCAUCUAAAAUAGCUGUGUUAGAAAACUUUAUUCUCCACCUCCCCUAAAAAAAAUAGAGAAAAGUUUCUGAGAACUAAAUGGCACAAAUCCGUGCAUCAGAUGUAACAGAUGCACAAACCACCAGAACGACUCCAUCCUUCUAAAGAAGUUCCUCCUUCAACUCCCUUCCUUCAACAGCAAAUUGUCGCUCUGCAUUAGCCAUGCUGUCUUGAGGACAACUUCCUUUUUGUUUACGGUUUAUUCAAAUCUGAAUCCAGAUCCAAAACUGUAGAUAAUCUACUGUAGCAAAACCCUCCAAUUCCACAGUUUUUUAGACUCUGUAUUUGUACUGAGCUUUAUCAGAUGGAAAUUAUGGCAGUGUUUUCUUACCUUUCAGUGAUCCCUCAAAAUUCACAUCCUUCUUUCUCUUGCCCUUUUUACUCACAGACUUCAAUUGCUUGUUCUUGUUUGGAUCUGACAGAAAAAAGAUUAAUCUGUUAACAGCUAUAAGAACAGUUUAUCUCCUCUACCCUGAAUCAUCUUUCUGUAGCCUUUAGGUAGUCAUUCAAAUAUUCUAUUAAUCUGUGCUUUUCCAGCCACUUACACUGUAUUCUGUGUAAACUCUGCUUUUCAGUUGAAAAAAUAAAACCAUGCAGGUGCAAGAAUCAGUUAUUAUAGUGGUAAUAAAAAUUUGGGUGCAUAGCUGUAUUAGAGGAGUAAGCUGUUACUUGUGAGACAGCAUUUUAAAUAAAAGUUACCUCAUCUAAAAAAAAUCAACAUUAAGAUUCCGAAGAAAAUUGAAAAUUACUAAUUACGAGAUUAUUUUAUUUUUCUCUUUGAGAUCUUUUAAUAUUUCUCCUACUGUAGCCAGUUAUUUGUGUAGAAAGCUACUUUUGUUACUGCCAGUGUUUUCAGAAUGAAAGAAACAUGUCUCAUUUGCAAGUUUUUAUACACAGAUGCCUAAAUCCCACUCUUGCCCAGGAGACUGUCAGGAAAUAUUUCUCUUAAGACUUCAUUGUCUAGAAAAGGACCUGUCAUUUCUUUGCUUAAAAUCCAAACUCCCCACCUAGGUAACUAAAUCAGAAUUUACGUGUGUAAUUACAUAUUAGAUAACAUAUUUUUAUGGCUUUUUUCCCCCUGUUUUUUGUAAUAAAUGGUUCUUUACCUAGGUUGUUACCAUCAUCAGACACAUCCAUAAAUACACCUCCUUCUUCAUCCAUAUCAUCUUCAAAGUCUUCCUCCAUACUUCCUAAGGAGACUUCCUCAUCAUCGAGAUCACUGAAUUCAUCUUCAUCAUCAGAAUCCUCCCAGUCAGCACCAGAUUCUUCAUUGCUUUUGCCUUUCUUACUGCCUUUGGUUUUCUUUUUUAUAUUACUAAAGAAAGAUGUAACAAGCUUAGCACUUCAUCCAGCAAAAUACUGUUUAGAUCUAGGUGACAUCUACCUACUGGUAAACACCAUGUAGAAAAGUUCAACAUCAUUGCAAACUACUGUAAAUGUAGGCUGAGACCUAAGGUAUAUGUAUUAUGCACUCAGGUUAUGUUCUCAGCAUUAGUAUAGAGAACUGUAUUAUAAAAGUCAACCAUUUUAAGAAGUUAUGGAGAGAAUACUAUUCUGAAAUUAGCAGAAAUGUCAGCUGCAGUAUUCUAUCUUUGCUCCUUUUCAGAAAGUCUUUGUUUGUAACACACACAAACUGCUCUACUAAACACCACUCUAGAUCAUAAAAAUUUUCAGAUUUCACUAGGAGUUUAGACUUCAAUUCUCCUGUCACCUCAAGGAAAAGUUUCUGUGCCCGUUCAAAAGCUGCAUUGUAGAUACUUCAAGUAAAAAAAGAGGCUUCUUAAUAAUUUACGAUUGGUCUUUAUAAUCUUAAAGGUUCUUUCCAACCUAAAUGACUCUAUAACUAAUGAAGCUGCUAACUUCCUGAGAACCGAGCUCUGUGACCCUGUAUUCCACAAUGUUUAUUUACUGUGUUGGUUAGAACCAGUCCUUAAAGCAGUAGAACCAUUAUGCCUCAUACUGCUUCCUUUUGUACUUGGUAUUUCUCAAAGAGAAACCUGAGACAAUGAAAAACAAGAUUUUACCUUGCCUACUGGGUCACUCCAUUGUAUAAAUAAUAUACUACAGGUCUCUCACGUGUCAAGCCAGCAAACCAUAAGCACCACAGGAUCAUUAUGAUCCAUUAUGGGACACGCAGAAAAACAGCAUUACUCAGUGUUCAACUGCUACUGCCUUUUUUGCAAGGUGAUAGUCUGAGUCUUUCUGAAAAAGGUCUAUCCAGUUUUGCACAUCUCUACUGAAACGAGAUGUAAGAACAAAUUUGAAGUCUUACCCAGCAAAAUCAAGGUCAUCCUGGUCAAUAACGGCAUUAUCAGCAGCUUCAAAGGUAUCUAGGGAGAAAAUAAAUUAUUACUACAAAGCAAGCAAAGAAAUAUGAAUUAAGUCAUUGUGUCCAACAAGUACAUAGACCUGUUGGAGAAGUCCAGAGGAGGGCCAGAAAGAUCACUAGAUUGCUGGAGCACCUCUCCUAUGAAGACAGGUUGAGAGAGUUGGGAUUAUUCAGCCUGGAGAAGAGAAGGCUUUGGAGUGACCUUAUUGUGGCCUGCCACUACCUAAAAGGGGCUAAAAGAGAGCUGGGGAGAGACUUUUGACAAGAGCAUGUAGUGACAGGACAAGGGGGAAAGGCUUCAAACUGAAAGAGGUAAAUUUAGAUUAGAUAUUAGCAAAGAAUUCUUUACUGUGAGGGUAGUGAGGCACUGGAACAGGCUGCCCAGAGAAUGUGUGGAUGCCCCAUGCCUGGCAGUGUUCAAGGCCACAUUGAAUAGGGCUUUGAGUAACCUGGUCUAGUGGAAGCUGUCCCUGCCCAUGGCAGGGGGGUUGGAACUAGAUAAUCUUUAAGGUCUCACGUAAUCCAAGCCAUUCUAUGAUUCUAUCAUUGCAAAAUACCUAAUGUUUAGGUAUCAUGUUCCUGAACGGUUUAUAUGAUCUGCACCAGUGAUACCAAAGGUUCAUACUCCUGUAGUAAAAAAAAAUCCACAAAAUAGUUACCUAAAGCUAAAUGAACUUUUUCUGAGAAAAAUACUUUUCUUUGAAAAGUAAUGGAAGUUUUAUUUUAUCCAGGAUGUAAUUUACCACCAGAACUGGAUGACAUGGGAAGCAGACAGACACAAACAGACAGACAACUGGCCCGUGAUACAAACUUAGUCAGCAGAUCAGAAGUAUCCACUAUAAUUUCUUAAGGAAAGCAAGCAGACUAGAGGUUGAAAGCUCCUAUCAUAGGAUUCACUUUGGAAUAAUUUGCUAUAUAAAAAAGGAAAUGAAAAAAAUAAUCUGAAAAAUUACAGCUGUUCUGUUU